UGGGGAAUUUUGGACAAUGGGGGAAACCCUGAUCCAGCCAUCCCGCGUGUGCGAUGAAGGCCUUCGGGUUGUAAAGCACUUUUGGCAGGAAAGAAACGUCGCUGGUUAAUACCCCGCGAAACUGACGGUACCUGCAGAAUAAGCACCGGCUAACUACGUGCCAGCAGCCGCGGUAAUACGUAGGGUGCAAGCGUUAAUCGGAAUUACUGGGCGUAAAGCGUGCGCAGGCGGUUCGGAAAGAAAGAUGUGAAAUCCCAGAGCUUAACUUUGGAACUGCAUUUUUAACUACCGGGCUAGAGUGUGUCAGAGGGAGGUGGAAUUCCGCGUGUAGCAGUGAAAUGCGUAGAUAUGCGGAGGAACACCGAUGGCGAAGGCAGCCUCCUGGGAUAACACUGACGCUCAUGCACGAAAAGCGUGGGGAGCAAACAGGAUUAGAUACCCUGGUAGUCCACGCCCUAAACGAUGUCAACUAGCUGUUGGGGCCUUCGGGCCUUGGUAGCGCAGCUAACGCGUGAAGUUGACCGCCUGGGGAGUACGGUCGCAAGAUU
rnacentral:rRNA from 1 species